UUUUGGUAGAUUUUAAGGGAGUCAUGGUGUGCAAAAAUCAUGUCAUUAUCUUUGAUUCAAUAUGGCGAUAAUAGCGUGCAUCAAUCUCUCAGAGGUGUUUGGGAUCCCAGAAUUAUGUGAAGGUGGCCAGUCGAUGUUGCCGAGAACGGAUAGUAUGUAUAAAAAGCCAACUAUCCCUGCAAUCAUAUUUAUUUAUACGAGCGUUGCAAUAAGCACACCAAAUUGAAGGACCAGAGAUUUAAAUGGAUUUUCAAGCGUCUGGCGGUCAAAGCAAAUUAUUCUUGGAUGAAGGAAUAAUUAGGAAAGGAAAGCCAUUCUCUAAGGAACUGACCGCCAAAAAGUCAGAAACUACAAACGAUGAAUUUGUACGUACACACCCAAUUAAUUGCUUUGUAUCGAACAAAAAAUGUUAUAUAUUCUCUCUUCCAUUUUCUCAGUUUUUUGUUUUAUUGAAUGAAAAACACUAAAUAAAGAUGCAAAGAAAAAUAAAACAAAACUUUAAUUAUGUAUGCAAAUGCCUCUCCGAAUUCACGUAAAUGCUACUAAAAAUUCAGUUAAAUGUUACCAAAAAAUCACUUAAAAGUUGAGUAAUCAUCAACGUAAGUAUUAUCGACGGAACCGGUGAAAGCUACGUGACAAUACGGUAAGUUUCACCAUCAUCACAUGAAU